rnacentral:rRNA from 1 species
GAUGAACGCUGGCGGCGUGCUUAACACAUGCAAGUCGAACGGAAAGGCCCAAGCUUGCUUGGGUACUCGAGUGGCGAACGGGUGAGUAACACGUGGGUGAUCUGUCCUGCACUUCGGGAUAAGCCUGGGAAACUGGGUCUAAUACCGGAUAGGACGAUGGUUUGGAUGCCAUUGUGGAAAGUUUUUUCGGUGUGGGAUGAGCUCGCGGCCUAUCAGCUUGUUGGUGGGGUAAUGGCCUACCAAGGCGUCGACGGGUAGCCGGCCUGAGAGGGUGUACGGCCACAUUGGGACUGAGAUACGGCCCAGACUCCUACGGGAGGCAGCAGUGGGGAAUAUUGCACAAUGGGCGCAAGCCUGAUGCAGCGACGCCGCGUGGGGGAUGACGGCCUUCGGGUUGUAAACUCCUUUCGCUAGGGACGAAGCGUUUUUGUGACGGUACCUGGAGAAGAAGCACCGGCUAACUACGUG